CUAGUAUCCAUCGUUUACGGCGUGGACUACCAGGGUACCUAAUCCUGUUCGCUCCCCACGCUUUCGUCCCUCAGCGUCAGUACAUACGUAGUAGACUGCCUUCGCAAUCGGUAUUCUGUGUAAUAUCUAUGCAUUUCACCGCUACACUACACAUUCUAUCUACUUCCAUAUGACUCAAGUCAACCAGUAUCAAAGGCAGUUCCAUAGUUGAGCUAUGGGAUUUCACCUCUGACUUAAUCGACCGCCUGCGGACCCUUUAAACCCAAUGAUUCCGGAUAACGCUCGGACCCUCCGUAUUACCGCGGCUGCUGGCACGGAGUUAGCCGGUCCUUAUUCUUACAGUACCGUCAAGCUGGUAUACAUACCAGUGUUUCUUCCUGUAUAAAAGUAGUUUACAACCCAUAGGGCAUUCUUCCUACACGCGGCAUGGCUGGAUCAGAGUCUCCUCCAUUGUCCAAUAUUCCUCACUGCUGCCUCCCGUAGGAGUCUGGUCCGUGUCUCAGUACCAGUGUGGGGGAUCUCCCUCUCAGGACCCCUACCUAUCGCUGUCUUGGUAAGCCGUUACCUUACCAACUAACUAAUAGGACGCAUAGCCAUCUUUUACCGAUAAAUCUUUAAUUAAAUAUUCAUGCGAAUACUCAAUACUAUGAGGCAUUAAUCUUCAUUUCUAAAGGCUAUUCCUCUGUAAAAGGUAGGUUCUAUACGCGUUACGCACCCGUGCGCCGGUCGUCAUCUGUGCAAGCACAAUGUUACCCCUCGACUUGCAUGUGUUAAGCCUGCCGCUAGCGUUCAUCCUGAGCCAGGAUCAAACUCU
rnacentral:rRNA from 1 species